rnacentral:rRNA from 1 species
AUUGAACGCUGGCGGCAUGCUUUACACAAGCAAGUCGAACGAGUGGCGAACGGGUGAGUAAUAUAUCGGAACGUAUCGAGUAAUGGGGGAUAACCAAUCGAAAGAUUGGCUAAUAACGCAUAAUAUUCGAGCGGCCGAUAACUGUUUAGAUAGUUGGGGGGGUAAAGGCCUACCAAGGCGUCGAUCAGUAGCGGGGCUGAGAGGACGCACCGCCACACUGGGACUGAGCCACGGCCCAGACUCCUACGUGAGGCAGCAGUGGGGAAUUUUGGACAAUGGGGGCAACCCUGAUCCCGCCAUGCCGCGUGUAUGAAGAAGGCCGUCGGGUUGUAAAGUACUUUUGUUAGGGAAGCGGUACCUAAAGAAUAAGCACCGGCUAACUCCGUGCCAGCAGCCGCGGUAAUAC